rnacentral:rRNA from 1 species
UACGUAUGGUGCAAGCGUUAUCCGGAUUUACUGGGCGUAAAGGGAGCGCAGGCGGCGCGCCAAGUCUGAUGUGAAACCCCGGGGCUCAACCCCGGGCAUGCAUUGGAAACUGGCGGGCUGGAGUGCCGGAGAGGUAAGCGGAAUUCCUAGUGUAGCGGUGAAAUGCAUAGAUAUCACACAGAACACCGAUUGCGAAGGCAUCUCACGAAUCCGCGAUUGACGCUGAUGCACGAAAGCGUGGGUAUCAAACAGG